GGUCCUCUCCAUUAGCCAAAGCGAUGCCCCUAUAGACACGUGCAGCCCCAUCGAGGCUCCAUCCCAUGCCCCCAUCAUUGCCCCAUAAGGAGCAAUUGAUACAGGCAAUGCUGCAGGUCCGGCCAUACAACCCAAUGCAGACCCCCCCUGAGCUAUGCAUAGAGCAGCUGCAUCAUGGCUGGGAUGGUGGUGAUUCAGCAGACGUCACUUGGAGUUUGGCUGCUGGUACAUGGACGGACCCCCACCAUCCAUCAGAGGGUCCUUUGUGGGUGGGGGGGGUUGAUAGAGCAGCAGACCCAUGGCUAAAGGCUGAGCUGAGCACGGUGCUGGGGGCUUCUGAGCUUCUGAGGGGUCCAGGAGCUGCUUGGAGGCCAAAAGAAAAGGGUGGGCACAGAGCAAUGGGGCAGGGAGGGGGGCUGCGCCAUCAAUGGGGCCUGGAGAUAAUCCCAAGCAUCAGCUGUGGCUCUGCUCAUGCUCCCAGAUUGCUGCAAAGUGCUUUGAAGUGCAAAUGAAGGUUUUUAGCAUCAGGUUGGAAGUUAAUUUGGACGAAGAGAAAACAAACAGCUCAACCCCAUGUGUGUGUGUGUGUGUACAGGAGGAGGAGGUGGGGGUUGCAGGGAUGCAACCCAGGGCCUCCAACCCCAACCUGGGUGUCGGGAUGGGGCCGAGCAAUCCCCUCUCCCUUUGCUUUCCAUGUUAGCACAGGAACACGAACCUCAAUUUACGCUGCCAGCCACAUCCACGCUGGGAGAAGCGCUAUUUUAAGCAGUGAGGUUAGAGCAGUGCAGAUAGAGAACCUAAUCGCCCUGCCACGGCCGCUGACAGCGGAAAGCAGAGGAUCGUUUUCCACUCGGUUGAUCUGUGCCUGCUGCAGAGCAAUGCUGGCGUGGAAGCAGAGCACGGAGCUCUAUCUAUUUGCUUUGCCCAGCUCAGUGCUGGGAUCAAACCCUCAAUGGUGGCACCAUAAAUGUGAUGCCCGGGGGUGGCUCAGGAGCUGCAUUGGAUGGUUCCAAGCUGAUCUAUGGCUCCAGGUGUAGGGGUUGCAUUCAUGCAUGCAGCAAGCCACUGCAGCGCUGGGUGUCCAUCAGUGCAGCUCCAUAGUGUCCAUACUGUCUCUAUUGGGGGCAGGUGAUGAGGACAGAGCCCCCCAUGUCCCUCCCAGCCCUGUUUUAGCUGUAGGUUCCUACAGCUGUUUGUCCCGUCCUUGCAGAGCAGGGCCCAAGUUGUACAGCAUGGCUGCUUCCCAUUGAACUCUAUGGCAGGAAGCCGCUCCUCAGCAGCUGCCGGCAGCACCGUUUCCUCCCAUGUCCCUGACACGAGGAAAUUCACCACUGGAAAAUGAAAGAACAUCCAGCCCAGGACCCAUGGCUGACCCUACAAGGCUUAACUAGGCCUAACUGAGGCCUAGUCCUGAGGCCUAGUCCAGCCCUGAGGCCUAGUCCAGCCCUGAGGCCUAACCCAGGUCCCCUGAGGCCUAAGGCCCAGCUCCAAGGCCCAGCUCCCUCCAUUGAGGCCCAGGCUCACCCUAUAGCCCAGGCCCUGUCCCCAAAGCCCACAUUGCGGCCUGUCCCCAAGGCCUAACCCCACACUGAAGCCCAGCUCCAUCCCAAAGCCCAGGUCAUAUCCCUGAGGCCUACCCUGCAGUCCCGCACCGAGGCCUAGUCCUGCACUAAGGCCCAGCCCCACAGCAAGGCCCAGUCCCGCAGCCCCCAGCCCCAAGGCCCACACAGAGGCCUAGCUGGGCCCAUCAUGGCCACGUCCCCAUCCCCACCUCCUGUCCCCAGCACACACAGCAGCUGACACAGCUCCAUCAGACGGAAGCGGCCGCACACCCACACGUCUCAGAGCUCCGCGGGGGCUGCGGCUGCUGGUGGGGGGGAGGGAGGCAACAGCUCCAUAAGAAGUGUUGGAAACAACAACGGAGAGGCUUUUCUUUAGCAAAGUAAAUCAAUCAGCCCUACCCCUUCGUUAGGAGAUGGGUCCUUGGCUUGUCUGAAGGCGGACGGGAGUCAAAGAGCUGAGAAAUGGAUGGAAUGAAGGCAACGCCGGAGCCAAAGAGCUGCUAUGAGUGAGAAACAGAAUAAAGGAAAUCAUCCCACCCCACUUCAAGAAAUGAAAUAAAAAGAAAAGGCAUUUACUCGAGCUUGCGGCCCAGGCCUCUCGCUGCCCGUACUUGGGAGCUCCUCCUCACCUCAGCACCUGGGAGCUCGGAUCAGGUUUGUACACUGGUUCAAAGUCGGCACUUGGACUUCAUUAUCUGAACCCAGCACUGAAAGGCACAUAUCUGAUACCCUGUACAAGAGCUAGCGUGGAUGCAGACGCCGACGGGUCCGAGGAUCAGACUGGGAAGAGGAAACUGGGGGGGGGAAUAACACAAAUUGCCACCUGCUUGCUGCAAAGAAAACACCAUCAGCUAAAGAUUUCCUGACUCCUUCCUCCCAUAAAGAGGUUUUUGAAAUGCCCGCGUUCAAACUGCAGAUUCCAAUGGUGGCAGCAUCAAUAGCUGCCCUUCAAUACAACUGAAAUGAGCAACACUCACACCCUUUCACCUCCAUUCCUCUGGGCUUAUUGCUGAGGGUUUGGGAUAAACAAGGUUUGAUUCCUCAAAACCCUCAUUGAAAUGAGAUUCUGAUCCUCGACGUGGCAAUAAGACAUUGUGCGAUCAGGGGAGCAGUGAGCAGCCAAUUGGUUUGGGAGUCACCCCAUCAGUCUGUAACUACUCGGGUUCCCCUUUAGAAAACUGGAAAGACCAAGAAUACGAAAAGGAAGUUUUGGGGAAUGUUUGACACCAUUUUUAUUCAUCUUUCAAACUGCAGUGGAAAAAUAGAACCUUUUACAAGUGCCGUCUUUGUGUAAGCUCAAGUCAGUAUAUAUAUAUCUUAUAUAAAUUUAUUUCUUCCUUAUUUUUUUUUUUUUGUUGUUAUUGUUGUUUUUUCAAGUGCAGCAAAGAGACCAAAACCACGUCGGAUUGGAUUAAAUAAAGAGCACAAAAGGCCGAGCAGUUUCCAAAUGGCAUUUUUAUCAGGAUUUACGUCUGAACAUUGAAUUUAUCCUCAUCUCUUUUUGUUUUUUUUUGCAAUCCAAAAUAAUACCUGAAAGUUUUAUUUUUUUUUGUUUUUUUCAACUCUUUGGCACAAUUUUCCUGGCUGUUUUUGGGGGGCUGCUACAGUACAAAGUCAAGAGAGCUCUUUCCCUUUGCGUUCUCACUGCCAAUUCAGAGCAACUCGAUGCCUGGCUUUGAGUCGUGAGCCUGAAAUCUUGUUUGACCAUUAAUUCUAGACCCUCUAUACCCAAGAGUUGGAGUUGGUUUGGUUUUAUCCCCCUCCCUCCCCCCCCCUCCCCACCAUUUCUACAUUCACAGUUGAACAACAUUAAGGAAGGAAAGGCGCUUUGAUGAAAGGAGACCAUGAAAAGCAUCACUGGGGAUGGGAGCUCUGAACAUUCGUCAGUGUUUCCCCAAAAUAAAAAGCCCUAAAAGGAGCGACUUUCCUUUUUUUUUUGUUUGUUUUUUUUUCCUUUUUUUUUUAAUCUUUUUUUUUUUCCCCUUUUUAAUACAUCUCUUACGCUGCAUCAGUAGACUGAAAGAAAAACAAAAACUUCGGUUAGUUUAUGAAAUGCAACAGCGAACCCCAUGUUUGCUCGUGGGAAAAGAAAAAAAAAAGAU